UAAUACCUGAGGCUCAAGUGAUGGCCGCUAUUAUUGGGUCUAAAGCGCCCGUAGCCGGUUUAGUAAGUUCCUGGUGAAAUCUUCCAGCAAACUGGAAGGCGUGCUGGGAAUACUGCUGAACUUGAGACCGGGAGAGGGUGGGGGUACUUAUGGGGUAGGGGUUAAAUCCUGUAAUCCCAUAGGGACCACCUGUGGCGAAGGCGCCCACCUGGAACGGGUCUGACGGUGAGGGACGAAAGCGUGGGGAGCGACCGGGAUUAGAUACCCCGUUAGUCCACGCCGUAAACGAUGCCCAUUUGGUGUCGCAAACUUCUUGGGAGUUUGCGGUGCCGGAGCGUAGGUGUUAAAUGGGCCACCUGGGAAGUACGUUCGCAAGAAUG
rnacentral:rRNA from 1 species